rnacentral:rRNA from 1 species
GACGUAGGGCGCGAGCGUUUGUCCGGAUUUAUUGGGCGUAAAGGGCUCGUAGGCGGCUUGUUGCGUCGACCGUGAAAACCCGGGGCUCAACUUCGGGCUUGCGGUCGAUACGGGCGGGCUAGAGUUCGGUAGGGGAGACUGGAAUUCCUGGUGUAGCGGUGAAAUGCGCAGAUAUCAGGAGGAACACCGGUGGCGAAGGCGGGUCUCUGGGCCGAUACUGACGCUGAGGAGCGAAAGCGUGGGGAGCGAACAGG